GUGUACGGCCACGCCCCCCUGAACCAGCCCGAUCCCGGCUGAUCUCGGAAGCUAAGCAGGGUCGGGCCUGGUUAGUACUUGGAUGGGAGACCACCUAGGAAGACCAGGUGCUGUAGGCG
rnacentral:rRNA from 1 species